rnacentral:lncRNA from 1 species
UGUAUUCAAAGAAUUAAACAUAAGAGAGACUAGGGUAAAACUACUUACCUUUAGAUCCUUUCCAUAUAUACUAAAUAGUAAAUACUGAAGUUGAAGAAAUAAAAAAUAAAAAAUACUCAAGCUAUGUUAUAUUUUCCAACAAAGAAUUUCAUGAUUUGGCAUUUAAUAAGGUAUAUGUACCGGGAAGAUCGGCCUUGUAGGUGGAAGCAAAUCCAGUAUGGUCGAGGCGGUGGGUAAAUGACGUCAAGUAUUAUAUAUACUGCGCAGUUGUACAAAAUGGCAACUUGGCAAGGUAUAAUAAUAUGGAUGAACGCUAUAUUCAGACAAAUAAAUACUUAAAAAAGAAAGAACUCUUAAGUAUUUCAGUUUUGAACAAAUUAAGGAAAAUUUCGAAAUAAUGGUUUGUAGUAGCCCGGAGGGGAAACAUUACCAUUUUAGUCUAAACACUUCACAAUAUACUUGAAAACAAAUU